GACGAACGCUGGCGGCGUGCCUAAUACAUGCAAGUCGAACGCAGUGGGGACGGGUGAGUAACACGUGGGUAACCUCCCAUCAGAGGGGAUAACCCUUGGAAACAGGUGCUAAACCGAUCCUGAUGGAUGGACCCGCUGUGCAUUAGAUAGUGGGUGAGGUAACGGCUCACCAAGGCCACGAUGCAUUGCCGACAGGAGAGGGUGAUCGGCCACAUGGGGACGGAGACACGGCCCAGACUCCUACGGGAGGCAGCAGUAGGGAAUCUUCUGCAAUGGACGAAAGUCUGACCGAGCAACGCCGAGUGAGUGAAGAAGGUUUUCGGAUCGUAAAACUCUGUUGUUAGAGAAGCGGUAUCUAACCAGAAAGCCACGGCUAACUACGUGCCAGCAGCCGCGGUAAUUC
rnacentral:rRNA from 1 species